AUUGAACGCUGGCGGCAGGCCUAACACAUGCAAGUCGAGCGGAUGAGAGGAGCUUGCUCCUUGAUUCAGCGGCGGACGGGUGAGUAAUGCCUAGGAAUCUGCCUGGUAGUGGGGGACAACGUUUCGAAAGGAACGCUAAUACCGCAUACGUCCUACGGGAGAAAGCAGGGGACCUUCGGGCCUUGCGCUAUCAGAUGAGCCUAGGUCGGAUUAGCUAGUUGGUGGGGUAAAGGCUCACCAAGGCGACGAUCCGUAACUGGUCUGAGAGGAUGAUCAGUCACACUGGAACUGAGACACGGUCCAGACUCCUACGGGAGGCAGCAGUGGGGAAUAUUGGACAAUGGGCGAAAGCCUGAUCCAGCCAUGCCGCGUGUGUGAAGAAGGUCUUCGGAUUGUAAAGCACUUUAAGUUGGGAGGAAGGGCAGUAAGCUAAUACCUUGCUGUUUUGACGUUACCAACAGAAUAAGCACCGGCUAACUUCGUGCCAGCCGCCGCGGUAACAC
rnacentral:rRNA from 1 species